rnacentral:tRNA from 1 species
ACAUUAAAGUGUAUGAUGCACAUUAGUUUUUGAUACUAAAAGAAUUAGUUUGAUUCUAUUUUAUGUAG